CGGACAGAGCAGCAUCGGUGAAAAGUUGGAUGUCUUCAGGGAAUGAGAGGCAGUCCUCGUAAAAGAAGGUAUAGUUGGGUGGUUGGCAGAGAUUGAAGAUCUGAGUGAUCUGGACGGCGGAGGAGAGGGCUGAUUCCUAUGUCUUGGAGUGCAGUUUGCUGAGCGAGAAGCUCUGUGUCCUCAGCUUGGAGCAGCCGGAUCGAUAACAGCGUUGGACAAUGAAGUGUCUUUGCCGGGAUCGGAUGGCUGUGAUGAAGCAUUGAUGGGAGAGUUGAAGAGUUCCUCGUCGGAGGGAAAGAGAUCCAGUUCAGAAAUCUUGCUGGCUUGAGGGUGGGACCCACUUGUCAGGAGAGUUGUCACAGGAAGCAGGUAAGCAGCGGCUUAUAUACUCCUGCUCGUUGGCUGUGAUUUGUCAUAUUAAAAUUAACAUGCUCCUCCCGAACCUCUGUUAAAUAACUCCAUUUAAGUGGAAGAGGAUCUUGGUAAUGUUUUGUAAAGAGAUGAAGAAAACCAAAAGAAAGCAGUUUGAGUGUUGUGAAAAGUAGAAAGGAGUAGAGCAGUAUGCUUGUUUUGCAUCUGCUGCUCCAGAUCCAGUUACACCUACAAAACUAUUUGUUAACUAUUGUAAACAUUUUUAGAGAACUUUUCUCAAAACCACUGAAUUUUUUUAACCUAAAAUAUGCUUCAUGUGGUUUGAUAUGAGUCAAAAAUAUUAUUUAACAUCACUGAAUCAACAUGAAUUCAUUAGGUUACACCAAAGAACAAAUUUUAAGGGUUAUUUAAGGUAGAAAUAGCUUGACGUUUACCACUUUUUACAGUGUAACUUCACCUUUAUUUUUUAUUUUUUUUUGCUAGUUUUGCAGGUACUUUUAACAAUAGAGAUGAAGUGGUAAGAACUUGCCCCCCUAGGGAAAGGUCUAUAAAUACCCUCACAGGAAAAGCUUCUUUGGUAAUGUUUAAUUUGGAAAUUGUAUAAACUGUCAAUACUCACAAAAUGUUAAAGGUUUUAUUCAUCCUGUAAACAACAGCAUUUUAAAUAUAAAUAGCUUUAUCACAUGUAGAACAAACAUUUUUAUUUAAUUGUUUUGGUACCAAUGUGAUAGGGAAACGUUUCGCCCCCCUCAAAGACUGUGUCACAGAACAUAGAAAUGCAAUUAGAAGAGGUGAUUUGAACAAUCCAGUAGCAAGGCACCCUAGGUUUUCCCUUUUGUUUUGGGUUUUCCUACUGACUUGUUCUCUAAUUAACUGUCUAAUAAUUGGUGUACACAGAUUGUGUUCUGAUUGGUGGCUGAUGAUUAUCCUGUUUAUUUCAAUGGCUGGAAAUUACCCUUGUUUGUUUCAAAUAACUGCUCUGUACAAGUUUUCUUUUAACCUUGUUAGCCCUGAUGAAGGCCUGUGUGUUUUAUUUAAAUAAAUAUUCUCCCUUCAACAAGUGUUGCUGGAUUUAUCUUCUUCAUUUGAACUUUGUUCUAUCCAUGCACCUUGUGUGUUGGUGAAGUUGCAUCAGACUCAUUACCCAAACAAAUUGCACAAGGUCAUUUUUAUUUUACAAAGGUGUAACGGGUAGUCCAAAUGCUUAUAUUUGAGCAAUAUUUUUUAUAAUUUGAAUCCCAACAAACUUCUUUUGUGAAAUGUUUUACUUAAAGGUCUUUGUACUGUAUUUCUUUAAAAUAAAUGCCACUUGGAUUGACUAAUGAU